rnacentral:rRNA from 1 species
GACGAACGCUGGCGGCGUGCCUAAUACAUGCAAGUCGAACGCUUUUUCUUUCACCGGAGCUUGCUCCACCGAAAGAAAAAGAGUGGCGAACGGGUGAGUAACACGUGGGUAACCUGCCCAUCAGAAGGGGAUAACACUUGGAAACAGGUGCUAAUACCGUAUAACACUAUUUUCCGCAUGGAAGAAAGUUGAAAGGCGCUUUUGCGUCACUGAUGGAUGGACCCGCGGUGCAUUAGCUAGUUGGUGAGGUAACGGCUCACCAAGGGAACGACGCAUAGCCGACCUGAGAGGGUGGUCGGCCACACUGGGACUGAGACACGGCCCAGACUCCUACGGGAGGCAGCAGUAGGGAAUCUUCGGCAAUGGACGAAAGUCUGACCGAGCAACGCCGCGUGAGUGAAGAAGGUUUUCGGAUCGUAAAACUCUGUUGUUAGAGAAGAACAAGGAUGAGAGUAAAAUGCUCAUCCCUUGACGGUAUCUAACCAGAAAGCCACGGCUAACUACGUGCCAGCCGCCGCAGUAA